GGAGCCAGUGUGGUGUAGUGGUUAAGAGCGGUGGACUUGUAAUCUGUGAACUGGGUUCGAUUCCCUACUCCUCCA
rnacentral:tRNA from 1 species